CUUCGCCCCUGAAGCAUGACUCGCGACUUCAAACCUGGGGACCUCAUCUUCGCCAAGAUGAAAGGUUAUCCUCAUUGGCCAGCUCGAGUAGAUGAAGUUCCUGACGGAGCUGUAAAACCACCCACAAACAAACUACCGAUUUUCUUUUUUGGAACUCGUGAGACUGCUUUUUUAGGCCCAAAGGACAUAUUUCCUUACUCAGAAAAUAAGGAAAAGUACGGCAAACCAAAUAAACGAAAAGGCUUUAAUGAAGGUUUACGGGAGAUAGAUAACAAUCCGAAAGUGAAAUUUUCAAGUCAACAGGCAUCAGCUCAACAGUCAAAUGCUGUCAUCUGAUGUUGAAGUUGAAGAAAAAGAAACAAGUGUUUCAAAGGAAGAUACCGACCAUGAAGAAAAAGCCAGCAAUGAGGAUGUGACUCAAGCAAUUGACAUAACCAGUCCAAAAGCUGCCAGAAGAGGGAGAAAGAGAAAGGCAGAUAACCAAGUAGAAACUGAGGAGGCUGGAGUAGUGACCGCAGCAACAGCAUCUGCUAAUCUAAAAGUGAGUCCUAGAAGAGGACCACCUGCAGCCACAGCGGUCAAGAUUCCGAAACCAAGAGGCAGACCCGAGAUGGUAAAACAACCUUGUCCUUCAGAGAGUGACAUGAUAACUGAAGAAGACAAAAACAAGAAAAAGGGGCAAGAGGAAAAACAACCUAAAAAACAGCUUAAAAAGGACGAAGAGGGCCAGAAGGAAGAAGAAAAGCCAAGAAAAGAGCCAGAUAAAAAAGAGGGGGAAAAGGAAGUUGAAUCAAAAAGGAAAAAUUUAGCCAAAACAGGGGUUACAUCAACCUCUGAUUCUGAAGGAGAAGGAGAUGAUCAAGAAGGUGAAAAGAAGAGAAAAGGUGGAAGAAACUUCCAAACCGCUCAUAGAAGGAAUAUGCUCAAAGGACAACAUGAGAAAGAGGCUGCAGAUGGAAAACGCAAGCAAGAAGAACAGAUGGAAACUGAGCAGCAGAAUAAAGAUGAAGGAAAGAAGCCAGAAGUUAAGAAAGUGGAGAAGAAGCGAGAAACCUCAAUGGAUUCUCGGCUUCAAAGGAUACGUGCUGAAAUUAAAACUUCACUCAAAAUUGAUAAUCUUGAUGUCAACAGAUGUAUUGAGGCUUUGGAUGAACUGGCUUCACUUCAGGUCACAAUGCAACAAGCUCAAAAACACACAGAGAUGAUGACAACACUGAAAAAAACACGGCGAUUCAAAGUUAGUCAGGUUAUCAUGGAAAAGUCUACAAUGUUGUAUAACAAGUUUAAGAACAUGUUUUUGGUUGGUGAAGGAGAUUCUGUGAUCACACAAAGGCUGAACAAAUCUCUUGCCGAACAAAGACAGCAUGAGGAAGCAAAUAAAACCAAAGAUCAAGGGAAGAAAGGGCCAAACAAAAAGCUAGCAAAGGAACAAACAGGUUCAAAGACUCUAAAUGGAGGAUCGGAUGCUCAAGACAGUAAUCAACCACAACACAAUGGAGACAGCAAUGAAGAAAGCAAAGACAACCACGAGGCCAGCAGUAAGAAAAAGCCAUCCAGUGAAGAGAGAGAGACUGAAAUAUCUCUGAAGGAGUCUACAUAGAUAACUAGGUUGACAUACCUGGAAUAUAAAGAACAUUUGAGAAGUUUGUAAUGGUUUUCAUUUGAAAUAUUUAGACUGCUGAAAGUUUUAAAUUUUUAUAAACAUAGGUUUUGAUGUUUAAAACUUGUUUUGAGGGAGAAAUCUCCUUAUCUUUGUUUAAAAGUGACUAAACAUUGCUAAUUGUACUUGUGCAGUAUUAAGAGCUACAUUGUGCAGUAAAUGUGAGGGGAAGUUCAUUUAGGAAGGGUUAAACUGCUUUUCCAGACAUCGGUUGUAGUAUAUUUUCAGUUAGUGUGUGUAUGUUAAUGUGUAAUUGAUAGUAGAAAAAAGUUACAUUUUUUAAAACUCCUACUUGUAUAAACCUUCUCCUCUUUUCCCAGAUACUGUGGGUUUUGUGCAUAGUUUUU